CCUACGAGUGUUGCAUGCAAGAUCUAAGAGCUUCUAUGGCAUAUUUGGAGCUUUGAACAUUAAUAAGGAAAACUCAUUUCUGGACUCAGGAAUCUCACUUAUCCGCUAAGGACAACUGGUAAUGGCAAGGGGUAAGUUGGUUCAACCAUGAGUUGGAGAGCUCUGGGGGUGAGUGUACAUUGUCAGCUGCUCAUCCACCACGGUCGAGGGAUUGUACAGGGAUGGAAACCUAAAACGUGUAUUUUUCCAUUAGAGUGGCCUUGAUUGUAUAUAACUUUUGGAAUUUUGUAAAUCUGUUCAUUAAACCCUGUUUUUGGGAUCCCAUGUACUAAAUAUUUAUUUUAAUGAAAAUUAU